GUUCACUCACUCUCGGCGGCCGCCGCGCGCUGUGUAUGAAAUUAUAAUGUUUUGGCCCGCCAAGGAGAAAGGAGUUUGCUUUAAACUCUUGACCCCUGGUUGCGACGGUGUUAUGCAACCGCUCCAGACAGACGUGCUCGCCACCAUGCAUAAGCACGAAAAUUUCAGGCGCUCUGCUUCUCUUUGACGGAGCAAACAAGGUUGAAGGUCUUUCGGAAGCAAGGAUGAUAAAGAAAAAUACAAGAAAUGUCCACGACCGCGUAAAGCACCUGCCUAACUUGUAGGUGCCGAGACCACUUUUCUUCCUGUUCUUUCAAGAGCUUCUCGUCUAUGUUCAUCAUUGCAUAAUUUUUAUAAGUGGAAAACAGAUAUGACGCUGUUUAUCAAGAAAUGAUAUUUGUUUGUAUUAGUAUUUUUAUAUAAUUAUAGAUUAAUUGUGAUAAAUAUUAGAUAUUUUUUUAGAUGUUUCAGUUUGAAAAUAUGCGGAGUUUUCGAAGAAUUAUUUUCUGAGAGAUUUUACGCGGUGUACAAUAAAUUUCAGAGAUAUGUUCAGAUUUUAACUGUGAAUUGCCAACCAUCAUACGAAUUCU